rnacentral:misc_RNA from 1 species
GAUGAAGAACGUAGCGAAAUGCGAUAAGUAGUGUGAAUUGCAGAAUUCAGUGAAUCAUCGAAUCUUUGAACGCACAUUGCGCCCUUUGGUAUUCCAAAGGGCAUGCCUGUUCGAGCGUCAUUUGUACCCUCAAGCUUUGCUUGGUGUUGGGCGUCUUGACUCUAGCUUUGCUGGAGACUCGCCUUAAAGUAAUUGGCAGCCAGCCUACUGGUUUCGGAGCGCAGCACAAGUCGCACUCUCUAUCAGCAAAGGUCUAGCAUCCAUUAAGCCUUUUUUUCAACUUUUGACCUCGGAUCAGGUAGGGAUACCCGCUGAACUUAAGCAUAUCAAUAAGCGGAGGA